AGUGAACGCUGGCGGCGUGCCUAAUACAUGCAAGUCGAACGAAGUGGCGCACGGGCGAGUAAUAUAUAGUUAAUCUGCCCUACACAGAGGAACAACAGUUGGAAACGACUGCUAAUACCUCAUAGUGUAGGAUGAGACUAUAUCGUAUCAGCUAGUUGGUAAGGUAAUGGCUUACCAAGGCUAUGACGCGUAACUGGUCUGAGAGGAUGAUCAGUCGCAUUGUAACUGAGACACGGUCCGGACUCCUACGAGAGGGAGCGGUAAGGAGUAUGGCGCAAUGGGCGAAACCCUGAAGCAGCAGCGCCGCGUGGAGGAUGUCACUUUGCGGAGAGUAAACUCCUUUUAUCAGGAAAGCGGUACCUGAUGAAUAAGCACCGGCUAACUCCGUGCCAGCAGCCGCGGUAAUAC
rnacentral:rRNA from 1 species